GAACUAUUGCAAUAGGCUUCAUAAUUUUGGUUACACAGAUUUUUCAAUAAAAGUGGACAUCAUCACCCUUUUCUAUGCUACAGGUUUGACCAAUACAAUUGAGAACGGAACUGGUCAAAGAAACAACAACCAGGCCAAGGAGCAGACAAUAGUGAAUGGCAAAGAAUGGGUCUAUCUUCAAUGCAGCCAGAAAAUCCUGCAUCCGGAGCAUCACAGAGAUUAAACAUACAGAACAAAUGCCUAAUCUUCCAAGGCAACAACUAAGAUCAAUAAUCGGUGAUCCCUAUGACUCUUAGAACAGAGGGUUGACAGAAUGUAAUACCAUCAUCAUGUAGUCUGUGGUAAGAUAUUCUAAUAAGAUUGAUACUGUGAAAUUAUUGUGAGGGUUUGAUUAAUGUCAAUACUGCAACUGG